UCUAGUUGAUAAUCUUAUUUGUAAAAGGUUUAAAAAAUAAAAUAAAAAUAAAAAUAACCAAAUAAAAUAUAGGGUGGGGUUUGUGUCAUGCAAAUAUGUGGGGUACUGCCUCCUGAGUCUGGUAAGCCCCGCCUCCGUAGUUCAAAAGGUCGGAUUCUCAUUUGGGCUCUUACAGCAGUAACUGAUUUUCGCGAGGACAUCUCUUUCUCUCGGUUAUAUUAAAGCGGCCUUGUUUUAUUUUUUUCAAACAAUGGACUCAGGACUCGCUGGUAAGUUAUUUUGUUUGUUUUAUAUGUUUUAUUUAUCAAGAUUGAUUUACCAAGUUAUCUUCAUUUGUAAAAACAGUCUUAUUGUGUUUUUAUUUUUAACAUUUAACAGGCUUUUAAAUGUAUAUGUAUACGAUGCAGGAAUUUUUAAAACGCUGCCCACCUACUGUACCAACAUUUUGAUCAGAUCGACCAACUUUUGAAUUCUACUUUGAUAAAUGUUGAAGAGCAAAGCGACACUAGGAACAGCGAUCUGCAAGUAAAUGCCCCAGCAAUAAAUGAGGGUUCUCAAGGCGUUAAUGAGGACUGUGAACUGCAAGAUGCCGCAUUACUAGUCACACAACCAGGAUUUGUACCACAGAACACCUACAAAAUCUUCAAGACUUAGUCUUAGUCGGAAACGUAAGCAGACCCGUUCUAUUAACCGUGAUAAAAGGGCAUGCCCGGACAAUACACUAGUCUCUGAUGUGCAACCUCGGGAUACCGCCACAGAUUUCAUUAAAACAGUUGAUUUCUAUACAGAAAACCUGUUAGGAGCUGGAGUUGUCACAAAUUCAUGGUCUGCAGCGUUGGCAAGGGCCUAACGGUGAUGCGAUAGUACCGGUAGCUACUACCGUACUGACAUCGUCUUUGGACUCGCAG